UAGAAGGAGGCCGCUUCAGUGCUCAGCGGUGCCGACUUUUCUACGAGGUUCCACUGCGGCUGCAGCCUCCAGCUCCCUUUAUUUUUCUUCCUCAUUGCCGGGUUUAUUCACCAUUGCACUGCUGGAACAAUUCAGCCUGUCAUGGAUUCGGACAUUUUGUUGGAAACGUCGGAUCUGGAUACCGACGCGUCCGUGGAUACCGACGGGUCCG